CUAGUAAAUUCUUAGGGGCUUUCAUGUCUCUUUUCCUGAUGUGCUAAGUUGGACACUGUCUAGAAAUUUUUUGGUUGCAUAUAGGAAUUAAUUCUGCAAGCCUUAAUAUCCAAAAUAUUAUUCCAUCUUUAUCAUUGAGGGGAUGUUCUGCAUAGUAGGAGCCUCAACUGACCUCUGCAGUGCAGGGCUGUGCUCAAUGGGCAAGCAGUGCUGCCUUCAGCACCAUGAUCCAGCUGGGGCUGCAGACAUCACCCGAGCUCUUCAAGCAAAUCCAAAUAGGCAGCUUUUACCCACCCCUGAGUGGUACCUGCCUUAUGCUUUCAGUACGAGGCUGCAUGGCACAACAUGCACUCGGUGCUCUGGCAUGGAGGGAAGCAGGAGCUGAGCAGCUGAUGCUGGGGCAGGAAGAGGGACUAGAAAGGUGGUUGAUCCUCCAGCUGCUGCAAGGGUGACUGCUGGUCAUCCUGCCACUGCUCCACCCCUGGCUGCAUAGGGGAUGUGCUUUCCUAUGCCUGCCAUGCUGGGGAAUGGCACAUUGCCUGCCCUGUCCUAAGGCGCCGUGCUUCCUGAUCUCUUCCUCCAGAUUUUGCCUUCAUUUAAGACAUUUAUUGCCUUCAAAUUGUCCCUAGGUCCAGGGAGAGACUCGAGAAACAUAGCUGAACACAUUAGACUAGAGCAAAGUGAAUGUCAUUACCCCACAUGCCUGUGGAUGCAGCUGUAUGAGGCUUCUGUCAAAUCACCUGCUACUCCAUCCCUUCCUGCGUGAAGUUGGGCUGUAGAAGAAUAUUUCAACUACCCUAAUAGUUAAAAAAACGCCUGCUAGUUGUUUAUUGUUCAAGCAUUCCUGCUGCUUCCCAGUAGUUAAUGGAGGAAAUGCCAUGGGAGCCAAGGGAGAAACUGGUCAAGGGAAGCAGAAUAAAUUAGGAUCAUUUUUUCACCCUGGCUCAUCCUGGGACAUCCAGUUGUUUCACACGAGCAUUGGAGCUGGGAGGUUGCAUUCAGAUGUGGCCAAGAGAACUGGAUCUUGGCUCUAAAGCUGCUGCUCCCUUCGGUGGGAUGCGGGAGGUGGGAUGGCUGAAGGGCAUGGCUGGAGAAAGGAGCAUGCUCCCAUGCAGUGGGCCUGAGUGUUGUGUGAGCAUACUGCUGGUAGCCUGCCAGGGCUGCUGCUGACCUGGUGGAGAAGCUGCCUGUUUCAUCCCUAGGCAAAGCACGCCUUUUCCUCCCUUCAGCCGCUUCCUGGAAGGUCUUAGUUCCUAAAAGGUAAACUUCGAGCUGUUCUUCAGAUGUUCUCCGCUUUUUCUCUCUCAGCUCAUAUGUGCUCCAGCAGCCAGCCCCCGGCGCAAGGGCCUCUGCGUGGAGCCGCGGAGCUGCGCGGAGAGUCCUGCCCGGCUCCCGCCGCUGGAGGGCAGUGGCCGCAUGCCCAGCGCCCCGGCGCCCCCCGCGGGGAACAGGCCUCCUAAAACAGUCUCACCGUAGAUUCCCUAGAUCGCCUUUAUGGAGUCAAAUAGUCCCAAAUUCAGAGAUAUGGCCUAAUACAACAGGCGUCACGGGACACUUAACAAAGUGGAGGCAUUAAAGGAGGCAUUUAAAAAAUGAAUAAGAAAACGUAUACAAGUUCGCAGACUUCUUGUUGGAGCUCAAAAUGAGCUGGGUUGUGGACUUUCUUUUUUAAAAGGAGUUAGCGGUUCAUGCUUUCAUAAUGCAGCUUUGUAAAUUUAUCUGAUAAAUACAAAAUGGCUUAUGUGCUUCUUUCAAUAGUGAGAAGCUGAAGCCCAGUUUUCUAGUUUGCAGCUGCGAUCAUUGUCUCUUAUGUGUUUUUACAGAACUUAAUAUAACUUGAACUCAGUCCUGUAAUUACUCAAAGGCUCUGUUCCAUCAGAUGUGCCCGACAGGAGCAGUGGUGCUUGAUUUAUGUCAGAUUUCACUUUCUGUUGGCCCACAAUACCAGGCGUGACUUCAACAUCUUGUGUCCAUAUUUUGCUCAGGUAAGGUUUGAGAAAACAAUGAGAACUGUACAGUUAUGUGCUUGGCUAAUCAGUUUGCUCAUUUCUAUGUGUUUUUGAGGUUUUGCCCACCACAGCCCUGCCCACAUGUGGGCACUAUGCUGGAGAGGCUGUCAGGGAAUGGAACAAGGAGCUUCUUCAGAGGCAAUCGUGAUUUGUCAUGACUUGUUCCAGCUGUGGCUCCCUCACACCACAGUUUUUGUACUCUCCAUAUUUUUUCACUUCUGUCAUCACCUGAAGAUGAGUCCCAUUUAGAUGGGAAGUCUUCCAUUUAAAAUCUAGGUCUAUUCUGUCCUGUCACAGGAAAAGUUCUGUGUUCGGAGUGGUGGUUAGCACUGCUUGUGUCUGAGCCCCCUGCAAUAGGGUCAGAAACAAAAAGAAGUUGAAUGGGCUGGUCUUGAGAUGCAAACCAUUCACCACCUGGCAUGGAGCACUCUGGGCAGAAGCUGCUGUGUAUCACUGGCCGAGAUCAGCUGUAGCCUGAUGACACGGUGAUGGCCACACUCCCCUCUCUCCUCAUCCCCAUGCUGGGUGCUAGUGUGUUGCCACACCAACUCCACUAUGGCGGGGACUAUCCAGCAUAUCACAAGGAAGGAGCACAUAUGGAGGGGGGCUGGAGAGGCUCCCCCAGCUCUGGAUGGUCCUGCAGGGCUCCCUGCAGCAAGGCUGAAGGCCCUGUCAUGAUACAGGGAGCAUACCCUGGAGACUUCCUGCAGCCACUGGGAAGUGCCGGGAAUGGACAGCACUGUGACCUGCAGUUCAUUGCCCAGCUGUGUCUGCUGCAGCAUUCCAGCACAGAUGGUGGCCCCAUCCGGCACCCAAUGCCAGGGUGGCUGGGACCUUGCAUCUCUGCCUUCCUGAUGGCAGCUGUGCCCUGUUCCCCACUGCUAGGCAUUUGCUGCCUCCCUACCCUGGUGGUGCUACUCUCAGCAAUCCUGAGCGUAGACAGGAGUCAAAGUUGUUUUUAUUUAUUCAAAUCCCAUUUAGCAUCCAUCAAGCUUAAAAAUCACGAUUACCUCUUGUACAAUUUUGUUUCAUAGGAAAGUAAUUAAUUUAGCAAUUAAGCUGUGCCCAGAACAAAUGAUGUAAGAGCACUCUGUGUGGGCUAAAUUAGUACCUGCUGUGACACAAUGCCAGCAUCUGUCUGGUUUAGUGACAUUUAUUUUAAACAGUCAGAGUGGAGAUGCUGCACCCUGUGUAAUUUUACUGAUGGCUUCAUCCCAACCAGAGACCCAGAGUCGACUCAGUAGUGUCCGCUGGAGCAUGCUCCAUUUGGUCAGCAGUGAAAAAGAAGCUUACUCUGAUGCCUUUUCUCUGUGUCAGGGAGGGUGUUUUAAAUUUGAGUUUGCUGGCCAGGUGGGCAUUGUUUAUGCCUCAAGCAGUGUGGGAAGCUCUGGAGAAAGAAAUGCUGCUCCUGAGAGCGUGAGGUACUUCAGCCAUUUAGACGAACAUUUCUAUUAUAUCAGUGCACUGAAUCUUCCUCCAAAUUUCUAGAGUGAGGCUUUCUACCAGCACUGGAAACUGCCAAAGGGCCUGGUGGGAGGGAAGCGUCCUGCCCCAUUCUCUCAGUGGUGUUACUACCCUAAGGGAUUUGCUCCAGACAGAGAGCUCCGCUUCUGGAGAAGGGUGAUUUUUAUGGUAGGCAAACAUAGGUUGCCAUGGAUUUCUGGCUGCUGAGGUACAUUCUCUGUUUCCCUAAGGAGCCUGUAGCAGCAGGCAAUGUGGUGUUACAUGGGAAAGACUCUGUUUUCCCUUGGUGGGAAGAAGGCUGCAGGUCUGGGGCAGAAACCCUCCUGCUGAUGUGUUGAGGGGAGCACUGGAGGCACCCCACGUUCCCAGAUACAGAGGGUGUUUCUGUUUUUGCUGCCUCUGCCUACAGGAAGGGUGUCAGCAUGGUGUUGGAGUAGAAUCACCUUAAAGGCAUAUUUUUGAGAGGAAAUUCUAUAGAAGGAAGCGUGUUUAUGCCUGUGAUGUUUAUUUUUCUCUGUAGGAAAAGAGAUAUUUUUUAAUGUAGUUACUUGUUAACUAUUUAUUUAGUGGGUCUAGUUAAUUUUGACUGUUUCAUUUCCUAGGGGACCAGACAUCAACAGCUUCAGAAAAAUUUGACAGCUUAAGUUUUCUUGCAACUUUGAUAAAAUGCUGUCAGCAGGACAGCAGAGCAUUCCUUAAGCCUGUCUCCAAUCUGUAUAGCCCUAACUAUUGCUCUUAGUUUCAUGGGAGAAAUGAACCUUGUCUACUGUUCUUUUGACCUUUGUGGGAUGAUAACUAUACAGAGAAUGAUAUGUUUUCUCUGGGUCAUACGAGAAGACUCUUUGACACGAGCUUGGGAGAGCUGAUCUGGGCAGCAGAACGUUGCCCAGUCCCUUGCCUAACUUCCAGCUGUGGAUGCUGUACAUCUACAAAGGGCAAUUACACCUUCAACUGAGACUUGAGGAAUCCUUGUCAUGGGAAGAAAAGCACAGAAGGUGAUGUGCUUCUGGUCACCUGAUGACUUACAAGGUCUCUUUCUUCUCACAUUAUCCUUUCAGUGCAUGGAUGAAAGGAAGGAAAAGGCUGCUCAAACUGGCAGGUUCUCCUAACCAUGUGUCCUUCUGGCAGCUGUGUGGAUGCGAUGGGGAUGGAAGCCCAGGACAGCCCAGUGAUGGAUAAGGUCUUCUGGAUGUUCUUUUCGGUUUUUGCAAAAGCCUUGUGAAGAAACUGCAAGGUCUCAGCAAGAAGACUGACUUUGCAUCAGAUCCAAGCCUCAGAGAGCCUCAAGCCCUGAGCUACUGCCAACCCACAGGGAAUGAGUCUGAAGGGUACUGUUUGGCAACAGUGGAACCCAAGAGAGUGUUUAGCUGUAGAUGCAAUAUGAAUUGUUCCUGCAGUUUAUUUUUACAUGCUUAGAGGUUGAAUGAGUUUGGAAGAUUUGGAGAGAAUCAGAGAAUUAGCAGAAUGAAUUAUUAUUGGUUAUUUAUACAAAAUGAGAAAUAUAUUUCCUGGUAGAACAUUGUGUGUCCAGGGAUGAUGAGAGGUGCUUUUGCAGAAAUGCUGGUGGGGAAAUAUUUAAAAGAAGAUUUUUUUCCCCCAAUAAGGAAGAGACCAAGAUACAGAAAAGUUCCCCAAUAUGGAGGCACCAUGGAAAGAUUGGUCUGGGAAACCUAGGCAGGAGAUGCUGAGAGUCUGGCAGGAGAGGACUCUGAAGCCCCAUUCCUGGCCAGUUUGGUUUGGAGGGUUAAGGUAUAUGUGGCUAAUCUUUUCAUGUCAGCUAUCCCACUGUGCAAGAGAGCUAUAGUGUACCCCUAUGAGGACAUUUCACCUGUAGAAACAAGAUAGGACCUGGCACCAAGGGACCCUCUUUGGAAACAUGUGGUAGAGACAAAAUCAACACUGAAAGACUGUGAAAAAUAAAUGUACAAAGAUAUUCUAGGAUGUCUUUUAGCUUUUUGAAAGAAGAGGGAUAUCCUAAGCAAAUGGGUAAACAGAACAGCCAGAAAGCUUUGGUAGGCAUGGGAGGAGCACAGGGGAAGACUUUGUUCCCUGGUUUAGCUGCUUCUUGGCACAGAAAAUGGGAGCACUUUCUCCAAGGGGCCAGUGACACAGCCAGCCAUGUUUGUAACCUUCAGCUGCAUGGCAAGAACACUGAAAGUAUUGUCCACACAAAGUCAUCAAACUGUUACUGGAUGCAGCAUUAGGAUCUCAUCUACUGAAGCAAAAAUAGACACGUGGAUCCACCUUGGGCAUGCAGUACAUGAUUAAGAGCAUGUCACCUUUCUCCAUUUUAGCGUGUUUUUAACCAUGCUCAGUGGACAGGAUCAUCAGAAUAUAGAUUAACAUUACUGGUCAAAUUAUAUGAAAGUUCUGAAAUUUCUAAACCCUUCCCUCUUUUCUCUAAGUAAGUGCUGGUUUUAACAUUGCUUCUCAAACAAGGAGAUUAUUCAAACCAGUUUCUCGUUAGUCACAUCAUCACCAAACUAUGAGGUCUGAAACAAGUCAGACCAAAGCCUGUGUCUGCCCUAAUUGAGAAUAGGAGGAAUCUAAAGGGACCUGGAUUGUGUGCGAACCCUGUGGUGAUGGUAGUGAUGGCAGUGCCAGCCCUAAACAUUCUGUUUUUAAGGUAUCUUGUGGACAUCCAUUGCUUAUGUUUGACAGUGCACUUGUACUGGGUAUUCCCAGGCACAUGGGACCUUCUACAGACUGAAGGGCAUCCUCAGGUGAUGGGGCUGGAGGCCUAGCAGCUAUAUGGGUGGUGAAAUCAACCUGGAGAGAGUCCCGAAGUGCCACAAGGGAAAGGCACAGUGGAUGUGCUGUGCAUGUGAAUGAGAGUGUUCACACACACACAUGCGUGUAUAUGCAAUAUUGGUCCCUCCUGUGAUAAAUGGCUCUAAGUGAAGCUUUGUGAAAUUUUGAAUUUCUGUUUUUCAGAACAGCGCAAACUGUGGCAAAAAACCAGGAAAAAUUGUUUCCUGGAAUUAAAACAGUCAUGUUCAGAAAUGUUUCCAUGUUCCGUUUUGACAUUUUUUGGAUCAAAGUGAAGCAUUUUGACAUUUGUGAGGACCUUCUUUGGGUCUGACUUCCUUGAUGCCUGACUGCUCUCUGGCUUCCUCCCUCUCCUACUAACAAGCUGAGAUUAUCCCACAGUGGGAUGCAAAGUAAAUGCAGACUGACCACCUGAAGAGCUCUGCAUCACCGAGCAUGGGGAAGAAUAAUGUGCUCACCAGUUACAUAGCUGGUAAUUUAUCCACUGGAAGGGAGAGGUCUGCAGGAGCCAAAGAAAUCAGCUCCACAGACACCUGACCUAGGGACUAUUGCAGGACUGUCUCCAGACUUUUCUUUGAAGAUGACACACCAGGAAAGUGCACCUAUACCAACCGAACCACCUGGACCACUAUGCUGAAGAGUUUGGCAUGCAUUUUCAAUUGGGAAGAUUCAGGUGUGCACUGAUACAACUCGUCCAAACUCAACAGAGCUGAUCCUGAUGUACACAAGGACACUCAUAUUCAGAUUACCCAGCUCUCCCCCUCCUCUUCCCCUCAAGGUCUUUCUGCUCAUGUCAUGUGGAAUGGCAUAAGUUCAGGUAUGGAUCAGAGAGACUUUGAAAUGGAAAAUCAGAGGAUACUGCAGGCCAUAUUGGAGAAGAGCUGGCAGUGGUGAGGGUUAGGACUAAGAUAGGCUUGUACGGGGUGCUGUGUUUGGAGUCCCAGAGGCCAAAAAUAACGAAUACUUGCAGAACUCCAUGUGAGUAACAAAUGGCUUAUCCUGUCUAGUCUAAUGAUAAAAUGUUACAUAGUGGGAUUUUAAAAAUAAAUAUGUUUGGUUUGGGUUUUUUUUGUUUGUGGAGUUUUUUUUGUUGUGUUUUUUUUUUUUUAAAGAAAGAUUAAAGCAACCGCUAUAGCUAAACACACUGCUUUGCUCUGAUAAGAUGCCAAAAUUACACGACUUCUACUGUGUAACACAGUUCUUCGUGUGGGCGUAGCAACCCCUCCCCAUACCUAGCGGAUACACUGUAGGGAAUUUUUGCAAAUGUGAGUAUUGCCUCUUGUAAGGUCAUCCACUAAAGAAAGUUAAAUACGUUGUAUGAAGAAA